rnacentral:rRNA from 1 species
AAUUAUUGGGCGUAAAGAGCACGUAGGUGGCUCUGUAAGUCAGCUGUGAAAGCCUUCUGCUUAACGGAAGAACAGCAGUUGAAACUACAGUGCUUGAGUGCGGGAGGGGAGAGUGGAACUUCUGGUGGAGCGGUGAAAUGCGUAGAUAUCAGAAGGAACGCCGGCGGCGAAAGCGGCUCUCUGGCCCGUAACUGACGCUGAGUGUGCGAAAGCUAGGGGAGCAAACGGGAUUAGAUACCCCGGUAGUCCUAGCCGUAAACGAUGGGCACUAAGUAGAGGGGUUUU